rnacentral:lncRNA from 1 species
UUUGGGAGUGAAUCUUGCGGAUUUGGAAAUGUGUUUUGAGGAUUUGGAAAUGUGUUUUGAGGAUUUGGGAAUGGAUUAGAAGGUGGGUUCUGUGGGGUUACAGAUGGAUUUUGUGGAUGGUAGACGUUUGGAUUAUUUUCACGAUUAGUAUUUUGGACAAAUGGAGGAGCAGAGCCGGAUGAUACGUUAUUCGGCUGAUC